GAUGAAGAACGCAGCGAAAUGCGAUAAGUAAUGUGAAUUGCAGAAUUCAGUGAAUCAUCGAAUCUUUGAACGCACAUUGCGCCCGCCAGUAUUCUGGCGGGCAUGCCUGUUCGAGCGUCAUUUCAACCAUCAAGCCCCCGGCUUGUGUUGGGGACCUGCGGCUGCCGCAGGCCCUGAAAAGCAGUGGCGGGCUCGCUGUCACACCGAGCGUAGUAGCAUACAUCUCGCUCUGGGCGUGCUGCGGGUUCCGGCCGUUAAACCACCUUCAUAACCCAAGGUUGACCUCGGAUCAGGUAGGAAGACCCGCUGAGCUUAAGCAUAUCAAUAAGCGGAGGA
rnacentral:misc_RNA from 1 species